rnacentral:rRNA from 1 species
UAGAGUUUGAUCCUGGCUCAGGAUGAACGUUGGCGGUGUGCCUAAUACAUGCAAGUCGAACGGAGUUAAUAGCAAUAUUGACUUAGUGGCGAACGGGUGAGUAACGCGUUGGUGAUCUGCCUUGAAGUGUGGAAUAACGUUUCGAAAGAGACGCUAAUACCGCAUGUGCUCUCAAUUUUUAGAAAGUUGAAAGUAAAGGAUUUAUUCGCUUCAAGAGGAGCCUGCGUCCCAUCAGCUGGUUGGUAGGGUAACGGCCUACCAAGGCUAUGACGGGUAGGGGACCUGAGAGGGUGGCCCCCCACAAUGGAACUGAAACACGGUCCAUACACCUACGGGUGGCAGCAGUAGGGAAUAUUAGAAAUGGACGAAAGUCUGAUCUAGCAACACCGCGUGUGCGAAGAAGGCCUUCGGGUCGUAAAGCACUUUUUGGAAGGAAUAGGAAGGAAUGUACUUCCAGAAUAAGUCUCGGCUAACUACGUGCCAGCAGCCGCGGUAACACGUAGGAGGCGAACGUUAUCCGGAUUUACUGGGCGUAAAGCGCGUGUAGGUGGUUCUGUAAGUAGGGCGUGAAAGCUCCUGGCUCAACUGGGAGAGGCCGUUCUAAACUGCAGAGCUAGAGGAUGGUAGAGGGAGGUGGAAUUCCAGGUGUAGCGGUGGAAUGCGCAGAUAUCUGGAGGAACACCAGUGGCGAAGGCGGCCUCCUGGACCAUUCCUGACACUCAGACGCGAAAGCUAGGGUAGCAAACGGGAUUAGAGACCCCGGUAGUCCUAGCCCUAAACGAUGUAGACUAGGCGUCGGUGGUUUAAUCACCAUCGGUGUCCAAGCUAACGCGAUAAGUCUACCGCCUGGGGACUACGGCCGCAAGGUUAAAACUCAAAGGAAUUGACGGGUCCCCGCACAAGCAGCGGAGCGUGUGGUUUAAUUCGUUGCUACACGAAGAACCUUACCUGGGUUUGACAUAGCAGUGGUAGGGAAGCGAAAGCGGACCGACCCUUCGGGGAGCUGUUACAGGUGUUGCAUGGCUGUCGUCAGCUCGUGUCGUGAGAUGUUCGGUUAAGUCCGCUAACGAGCGCAACCCGCGUUGUGUGUUACAAGUGUCACACAAUACCGCCGGUAUUAAGUCGGAGGAAGGUGCGGAUGACGUCAAGUCAGCAUGACCUUUAUAUCCAGGGCUACACACACGCUACAAUGGUCAGCACAAUAGGUUGCUAAGCCGCGAGGUAGAGCCAAUCCCUAAAGCUGGCCUCAGUUCAGAUUGUAGGCUGCAACUCGCCUGCAUGAAGAUGGAGUUGCUAGUAACCGCAGGUCAGCCAUACUGCGGUGAAUACGUUCCCGGGGCUUGUACACACCGCCCGUCACGUCAUGGAAGUUGGCAACACCUGAAGCCGGUAUCCUAACCGCAAGGAGGGAGCCGUCGAAGGUGGGGUCGAUAACUGGGACGAAGUCGUAACAAGGUAG